rnacentral:rRNA from 1 species
GAUGAACGCUGGCGGCGUGCCUAAUACAUGCAAGUCGAGCGAACGGGCGAGAAGCUUGCUUCUCUGAUGUUAGCGGCGGACGGGUGAGUAACACGUGGAUAACCUACCUAUAAGACUGGGAUAACUUCGGGAAACCGGAGCUAAUACCGGAUGAUAUUUUGAACCGCAUGGUUCAAAAGUGAAAGACGGUCUUGCUGUCACUUAUAGAUGGAUCCGCGCUGCAUUAGCUAGUUGGUAAGGUAACGGCUUACCAAGGCAACGAUGCAUAGCCGACCUGAGAGGGUGAUCGGCCACACUGGAACUGAGACACGGUCCAGACUCCUACGGGAGACAGCAGUAGGGAAUCUUCCGCAAUGGGCGAAAGCCUGACGGAGCAACGCCGCGUGAGUGAUGAAGGUCUUCGGAUCGUAAAACUCUGUUAUUAGGGAAGAACAUAUGUGUAAGUAACUGUGCACAUCUUGACGGUACCUAAUCAGAAAGCCACGGCUAACUACGUG